rnacentral:rRNA from 1 species
AUUGAACGCUGGCGGCAGGCCUAACACAUGCAAGUCGAGCGGCAGCGGGAAAGUAGCUUGCUACUUUUGCCGGCGAGCGGCGGACGGGUGAGUAAUGCCUGGGAAAUUGCCCAGUCGAGGGGGAUAACAGUUGGAAACGACUGUUAAUACCGCAUACGCCCUACGGGGGAAAGCAGGGGACCUUCGGGCCUUGCGCGAUUGGAUAUGCCCAGGUGGGAUUAGCUAGUUGGUGAGGUAAUGGCUCACCAAGGCGACGUUCCCUAGCUGGUCUGAGAGAAUAAUCAGCCACACAGGAACUGAGACUCGUGCAAGAAUCCUACGGGAGGCAGCAAUGGGGAAUAUUGCACAAUGGGGGAAACCCUGAUGAAGCCAUGCCGCGUGUGUGAAGAAGGCCUUCGGGUUGUAAAGCACUUUCAGCGAGGAGGAAAGGUUGAUGCCUAAUACGUAUCAACUGUGACGUUACUCGCAGAAGAAGCACCGGCUAACUCCGUGCCAGCCGCCGCCGUAAAAC